UACGUAGGUGGCAAGCGUUGUUCGGAAUUAUUGGGCGUAAAGGGCGCGUAGGCGGUCUUGUAAGUCAGCUGUGAAAGCCCGGGGCUCAACCCCGGAGGGUCGGCUGAUACUGCAGGACUGGAGUACGGAAGAGGUAGCUGGAAUUCCCGGUGUAGCGGUGAAAUGCGCAGAUAUCAGGAGGAACACCGAUGGCGAAGGCAGCUCGCUGGGACGGUACUGACGCUGAGGCGCGAAAGCGUGGGGAGCAAACAGG
rnacentral:rRNA from 1 species